rnacentral:lncRNA from 1 species
GCUACCUGCUUCUGCAGCAUAGUAGGUGGAUUUUCAGACACAAAAUUUACCUCUAAGGCCUUGAGAUUUACUGCAAUGACAAAUCUCUAAAUGGUAUUGACAUUCUAGGAUAUCAUGAACAGUACAUUACUAUGAGGAAAAUCAACAGAGAUGCCACUUAUCCGACAAACAUCUCCCAAGCCCUGGCUAUGAAAAAAAUCACUGGAGUUGGGAGCUGCACGAUAAUUUCAGAACUUUAAAUGGUACACACAAAACAAAGUAUGACCUCUACUCUUCAGCCCAUCGUCCUCUCCACCAAUCGUUGUCCAUGCCUGCAUCCUACUUGAAGUUCACCUGUGCCAAGCAUGUAACAGGAAAACCCAAAAUAGCAGUAGCUUGAACAACAUGGGGAUCUAUCUAUCUCGUACAAAACAAGUCUGUAGGUGAGCAACCGAGAGCUGAUAUGACAUUUUCUGAAAAGGACCUUCUUUUUCUACCCCACCACCCUAGAACAUGGCUUUCACUCUCAAAGUCAGCUCAUGCCCCAAGGGAGCUGCUUGAGCUUCACCAUCAUACCCUCAUUGCAGAUCAGAAGGAAGAUGACAGGCAGAAGAAAAUUCUUCCUUGAAGUCCCAUACAAAAUAACCUUUUCUUUAUUACAUGGCUGCAAGGGAGUCUGGGAAUUAUCAUCUUUAUCCCAAGUAGGCAUGUGCCCAUCUAACAUGAGGUUCUGUUACUAAGAAUAAAGGAGAAAUUAGAUGUAGAGGUAAACAAGUAGCUCUCCCUGACACAGAUGUAUAAGGAGAGAAGAGAAGAGGGGUGACAGCGGAUCCUUGAUGGUCAUCAACAUUUGAGAGAUAAGCAACGGACAAGGAACUCAUGGAGGGACUGAGAAGACGCCAUUAUAGAAAGAGAAGACAUUGUGGAAGAUAAGGUGUCAAGAAGGGCAAGGGGGAAGGUUUUUAAGCUAGGGGGAUGGCUAAUAGCAUAGGACAAAGCCAGAAAAAAAUGAUCAUUAGAGAUAAUUCAAUUGCCCAAAGAAAAUAGACAAUUGGAAAGCAAAACUUCGGGGACUAUUUCUUUUGUUAUACUCUGUCUGGGUACUCAGGAUCACCCUAAAAUCAAUAGUUACAUACAUUCCAUCUAAGGAAUAGAUGGCCCAAAGGGGCUAUUCUGCCAUAUUAACGUAUCAGAUGAGGCCUCCAUGUCUACUUAUGCUCACAGGCCAUAGCCACACAAUUCUGGGGCAUUCUUCAUGGCUUUGCCUUAAUUGCUCUUUGAAUUCUCAUGGUUUCAGGAGCACAAACACACUGAUCUUCAUAUAAGAGAUGAUUAGACCAGACUCAGGAAGAAAGCCAAGCACCUAUUCAUAGUGCAGCAUAAUAAGAAAAAUAACUAACAUUUAUUAAAACAUGUAUUACAUGCCAGGCACCGUGCUAACCUCUCAAUGAAUAUUAGCUCUGUGUUUGUGUGUGCAUGUGCACGUGUGCAUGUGUGCCUAUAUAAUUAACGUUUGUAUGUAAUUAAUUCUCAAAAUGUUCUAUGAGGCAUGCUUCCCCAGGCUCUUUGAUCUUGGACUUCCCAUGCCCCAGAACUGUGAGGGUUCUCUUGCUGGCUAGCAAAUGCCUGUCUUCUGGUUACAUCCACAUGUGGCAUUUCUUUGUUGCAUGCACACAGAGUGAGAUCCUGCACCUCCACCUUUUUUCAUAAGGGCAUUCAUCCCAUAAUGAGGGGCCCACACUUAUGAUCUUAUGGUCUUAUCUAACCCUAAUUGGCCCCCAAAAGAACCCACCUCCAAAUACCAUCAUACUGGGGAUUGAGGCUACAACAUAUGAAUUUUAGAGCAACACAAACAUUCGUUGUAAAGCAGGCAGAUAUUCUUAUCUUCAUUUUACAGGCGAGAAAUCAGAGGAUAAGAGAGGUUAAAUGGUUUGCCCAGAAGCAGAGGCCGUUGAUUCCCAUGUCCAUUGCUGCUUCUGCAUACCCUGCUGCCUCCAUAGCAACAAUACAUUUUAGCAAAUUUCUCAUUAUUUUUAGGUACAACUCCUUCUUCCAUACUCCAGUUUUAUCUGUUACCCUCUGGGCUAUGAUUAGUUGGAAACCUAAUUAGUGAGCUAGUGACAAUGAGGGUUUACAUAGAGCAGAUCAUUAUUUUCUUCCCAGUGAAAAGCAAUUCAGAGGGACUUGAAGGUCAGGGGUUCUCCAAAUCCCCUGGAUUCUUCAAGACAUUUUGAUGAUAUUAUCUGGAUGAUAAUAAUAAUGGCUAAACAUCCAUUGGACACUUAUUUUCUACACAUUUAACUUGUAUUAAUUCAUUUAAUUCCCACCUAAUGACCUUGUAAGGUAGAUAUUAUCAUCCCUAUUUUACAAGUAAGCAAAAGGGAAAACUGAGGUACAGAAAGGCUAAGGCUACUUUUGCAAAAACCAGUUAGUGAAUACUAAAACUUAAAUUUGAGCCCAAGCAGAAUGACUCUGGAGGCUGGUUGUUAACCACUCUGGUGCAAUAAUUUCUUUAAUUAAGAAGGAAAGAUGGGAGAAUGGGUUAUUUGAAAGGGCAGCAUGUCGGAGCCUAUCACCCCUCAACAAAUCUCCACUAAAGGAUCAACUCCCGAAAAUUCUUCUCAGGGGUUCUGCUUCUCUGAAAAGAUGAGGGACCAUAAGAUCUUCACCUUCCCAAACAUAAUGUGCAGAAAACCUCCCAGGGCCUUUGACAUCCAGGCUCUCAAUAAUGUAAAUAAAUGCAGGUGGCAGGGUCUAACUACCCAGUAACCCAUGAACCAUUAAUUGGAGCUAUUUUCAGCUUCUAGGGAGCAAUUCCAACUGCAAGAUUCUCUGUAAUAAAGGUCUGAUGAAUCAGCUGGUAUGGGAGAGGGGGCAUAUUUGAGAAUUCAGUAGGUAAAAAUAGCAUUAAAAUAAUUCAAGCCGAGAAGAAACAUGACUGAUGAAGCAGUAUGUCAGGACAUCUUCAGUCAGUCAAUCAACAGGCUUAACUGAGGUCCCAGCACUCCUGCCUAGAGGACAGAUGUUAGUAUUGAGAAGGGAUAUAAAAGGGACAAAAGAAACACAUGGUCUCCUCCCUCCAUGAACUAAUGAUCCACAAUAAACCUCAGUGGUCCAGGGUAGUUGGCAGGAAAGAUGUUCUGGUCAAUAAAAUAUGCUAGUUAGUUUGGCAUUGCCACAUAGAUCAUUCAAGGAUUGUUAAUUUCCUAGAAUUAGAAUAAAAUAAUAUAGAUGCCAUAUUUUUUAAAGAAUCAAAAACUGAAUAAAAACAUCAAGAAACUUGUGAUCUUCUCUGGUAUCUGUAUCACCAGGCUUCCUUUUCAGAUGUUCUCCCUUAAUCCCAUUCAACACUUCCCUUACCAUCUCUUACUGUUGAGCAACAGCAUCAUCUUCUCUCCAUGUCCAAGCCUGCCAAACCUCCUGACAGGAGACACUCUGCAGGUACUGAAAUCUUGAUACAGACAAUGUGUUUUUACAUUUAAUGACGUUCAGACUCUUGAACAAAAGAUAUGCAUUUCCAUGGUGAAUUUUGGUCAUUUGUUAAUUAAAUAGGGAAGGUUUUGGGGAGCAGGCAGUACUAAGUUUUUCUUCAUAUAUCUCAACAUUGUUCAAAAGGUUAAACCAAAAAAUUA